AUUGAACGCUGGCGGCAGGCCUAACACAUGCAAGUCGAGCGGAUGAAGGGAGCUUGCUCCUGGAUUCAGCGGCGGACGGGUGAGUAAUGCCUAGGAAUCUGCCUGGUAGUGGGGGAUAACGUCCGGAAACGGGCGCUAAUACCGCAUACGUCCUGAGGGAGAAAGUGGGGGAUCUUCGGACCUCACGCUAUCAGAUGAGCCUAGGUCGGAUUAGCUAGUUGGUGGGGUAAAGGCCUACCAAGGCGACGAUCCGUAACUGGUCUGAGAGGAUGAUCAGUCACACUGGAACUGAGACACGGUCCAGACUCCUACGGGAGGCAGCAGUGGGGAAUAUUGGACAAUGGGCGAAAGCCUGAUCCAGCCAUGCCGCGUGUGUGAAGAAGGUCUUCGGAUUGUAAAGCACUUUAAGUUGGGAGGAAGGGCAGUAAGUUAAUACCUUGCUGUUUUGACGUUACCAGCAGAAUAAGCACCGGCGAACUUCGU
rnacentral:rRNA from 1 species